AACGAACGCUGGCGGCAUGCCUAACACAUGCCAGUCGAACGAUUGCCUUCGGGUGAUAGUGGCGCACGGGUGCGUAACGCGUGGGAAUCUGCCCUUAGGUUCGGAAUAACAGCUGGAAACGGCUGCUAAUACCGGAUGAUAUCGCGAGAUCAAAGAUUUAUCGCCUGAGGAUGAGCCCGCGUUGGAUUAGGUAGUUGGUGGGGUAAAGGCCUACCAAGCCGACGAUCCAUAGCUGGUCUGAGAGGAUGAUCAGCCACACUGGGACUGAGGCACGGCCCAGACUCCUACGGGAGGCAGCAGUGGGGAAUAUUGGACAAUGGGCGCAAGCCUGAUCCAGCAAUGCCGCGUGAGUGAUGAAGGCCCUAGGGUUGUAAAGCUCUUUUACCCGGGAAGAUAAUGACUGUACCGGGAGAAUAAGCCCCGGCUAACUCCGUG
rnacentral:rRNA from 1 species